GUCACUGGUAGCUCGGUUGGUUACAGCGUGGUGCUGAUAAUGCCAAGGUUGCAGGUUCGAUCCCUGUAUGGGACA